rnacentral:SRP_RNA from 14 species
GUCGAGCUAAGUAACAUGAGCUUGUAACCCAUGUGGGGACAUUUAGAUGGUGGAACACUGGUUCGGGUCCACGGGCCGGUUCUGUUGUUGGCAUGUUUCUGGGCUGCCCAGUCCAAGCUGUGAGUAAGACGUGUGUGUCAAGCGAAGGCUUGGCUCAAACGGCUUCUAAAGUUGGAGGGUAAUGCGUGAGGCUGGUUUCACAGAGCAGCGACUACUUCCCGCUUACAGCAGUGGACGGAUCACAGUUUAGCGUCGCUCAGAACCACUAUGGCCUGCUGGUCCGAUCUCAUAUGAACCACCAUUUU